rnacentral:rRNA from 1 species
AUAGGAUGAGUUCGCGUCUGAUUAGCUAGUAGGUGAGGUAAUGGCUCACCUAGGCGACGAUCAGUAGCCGACCUGAGAGGGUGAUCGGCCACAUUGGGACUGAGACACGGCCCAAACUCCUACGGGAGGCAGCAGUGGGGAAUAUUGCGCAAUGGGCGAAAGCCUGACGCAGCAACGCCGCGUGGGUGAUGAAGGUCUUCGGAUCGUAAAACCCUGUCGUAGGGGAAGAAAUGGGUCGUGCUAAUAUCGCGACUUCUUGACGGUACCCUCAAAGGAAGCACCGGCUAACUCCGUGCCAGCAGCCGCGGUAAUACGGAGGGUGCAAGCGUUGUUCGGAAUUAUUGGGCGUAAAGCGCGUGUAGGCGGUUUGUUAAGUCUGGUGUGAAAGCCCUGGGCUCAACCUGGGAAGUGCAUUGGAUACUGGCAAACUUGAGUACGGGAGAGGAUAGUGGAAUUUCGAGUGUAGGGGUGAAAUCCGUAGAUAUUCGAAGGAACACCGGUGGCGAAGGCGGCUAUCUGGACCGAUACUGACGCUGAGACGCGAAAGCGUGGGGAGCAAACAGGAUUAGAUACCCUGGUAGUCCACGCCGUAAACGAUGAGAACUAGGUGUCGGCGAUACACAGUCGGUGGCCAAGCGAAAGCGAUAAGUUAUCCACCUGGGGAGUACGACCGCAAGGUUGAAACUCAAAGGAAUUGACGGGGGCCCGCACAAGCGGAGGAACAUGUGGUUUAAUUCGAUGAUACGCGAGGAACCUUACCCGGGCUCGAACGGUGCAGGAAUAUGGUAGAGAUAUCAUACUCUUCGGAGCAGGUUGCAAGGUGCUGCAUGGUUGUCGUCAGCUCGUGCCGUGAGGUGUCGGGUUAAGUCCCAUAACGAGCGCAACCCUUAUCGUUAGUUGCCAGCGGAUCAUGCCGGGGACUCUAGCGAGACUGCCACCGUAAGGUGUGAGGAAGGUGGGGAUGACGUCAAAUCAGCACGGCCCUUAUGUCCAGGGCGACACACGUGUUACAAUGGUAGGUACAGAGGGGCGCUAUCCAGCGAUGGAGUGCGAAUCUCAAAAACCUAUCUCAGUUCGGAUCGGAGUCUGCAACUCGACUCCGUGAAGUUGGAUUCGCUAGUAAUCGCGCAUCAGCCAUGGCGCGGUGAAUACGUUCCCGGGCCUUGUACACACCGCCCGUCAAGCCAUGGAAGCUGGGGGUGCCUGAAGUUCGUGACCGCAAGGAGCGACCUAAGGCAAAACUGGUAACUGGGGCUAAGUCGUAACAAGGUAACCC